rnacentral:misc_RNA from 1 species
GAUAUUGCUUGAAUAGUUUCUUCCCUUAUGCUUGGUUUCUCUAAUGUUAGAGUUGGUAAUCGCUCUUUAAAAUUAACUCCACAUCAACUGGGGACCACAAAUCUUAGAUAUAAUUUAGAGCCGAAGGUAGUACUAGGAUUUGAGUUUGGAUUUUCUAAUUGUGGGCACAUGCAAUGCUAUGUGUUGCCGCCUAGGGUUAGGGGGUGUGCACAUUGUUGUCAAUAGGCGCCCGAGCGAGGCAAAUCCAGGCACCUCGCCUGGGAA